GCCAUCUUGUCUCCCUCUCCUUACCUGCGUCCUCGGGGGCGUGCGCACCACCCCCCCUCCCGCCUAGGAGGGGGGAGGGCCCCCUCUUGGCCACCGCCUUCGCGGCCUUUAAACUCCCCUGGAGACUGCGGCUACUGCCACCGCCUUGCCUCCACUGCCUCUUCGCGCAGCACACAGAUGCGGACGGUGGGUGGGAAAAAGGGCAGACGCUACUCCCAGCGAACCGCCGCUGCCGCUCCCGAGGCCUCACCAAAAUGGCCGCCGCCGUCUCGGCCGCCACCACCACCACUACCACCACCACUCGCUCGGAAUCGCUAUCGCCGGCGCGGCCCGUCUUCUCGCGAGAGACAGUAACUGGAGGGUGGGGGAACGGGGAGGCUCGCGUGCUAGCGUAGGGUGCAGCACGGUGCGCAAGGCAGCCUGGGAGGUGUAGUCUCCCAGAGGCUGCGCGCUCGCCCUUCCUCGGAGCGCCUUUACCGUUUGCCCCUAGAUCUACCUGGGGCUGCAUUGCGGCUGCCAGCUCGGACCACCGCCACCUCCCUUUUUAUUUACAGAUCACCCAGUAAGCUGCAGCAAGUUAGCAGUGGAACCUGGGCCUCCCGAUUCCCAUGGCAGCCCACUUCUGUAGCGCUGCUUCGUUUUACGCGAGGAUGGUUUCCUGAUAGCUUUCAAACACCUUUGCCAUCUCUUCGCAAACUUUCUAGAUUAAGAAUCCCUUUGAGAAUCUGAUACCUUUACCCCAGAAUAGAACAAUAAAUAACAGCUACCUUCUACUGACACUA
rnacentral:lncRNA from 1 species